UACGGAGGGUGCAAGCGUUAUCCGGAUUUACUGGGUUUAAAGGGUGCGCAGGCGGAUAUGUAAGUCAGUGGUGAAAUCUUCCCGCUUAACGGGAAAACUGCCAUUGAUACUAUAUAUCUUGAAUGCUGUGGAGGUAAGCAGAAUAUGUCAUGUAGCGGUGAAAUGCUUAGAGAUGACAUAGAAUACCUAUUGCGAAGGCAGCUACUACGCAGAUAUUGACGCUCAUGCACGAAAGCGUGGGGAUCAAACAGG
rnacentral:rRNA from 1 species